CCUACGGGAGGCAGCAGUAAGGAAUUUUCGGCAAUGGGGGCAACCCUGACCGAGCAACGCCGCGUGAGUGAUGAAGGCCUUUGGGUUGUAAAGCUCUGUUGCAAAGGAAGAAUCUUUCCAAGAGGAAAUGCUUGGGAACUGACGGUACUUUGCCAGAAAGUCACGGCUUACUACGUGCCAGCAGCCGCGGUAAU
rnacentral:rRNA from 1 species